GAUGAACGCUGGCGGCGUGCCUAAUAUAUUCAAGUCGAGCGAAAAGACGAGGAGCUUGCUCCUUUGACGAUAGCGGAGGACGGGUGAGUAACACGUGGAUACCCUAGCUAUAAGACUGGGAUAAAGUCGGGUAACUGGCGCCAAUACCGGAUAAUAUCUUGCACCGGAUGGUUCAAUAGUGCAAGCUGGUUUUACUGUCACUAAUAGAUGGAUCCGCUGCGGAUUAGCUUGUUGGUUAGGUAACGGCUUAGCAAGGCGACGGUGCGCAGGCGACGGGAGGGGGUGAUCGACCAUACUGAAACAGAGACACGGACCACACUCCUACGGGAGACAGCAGUAGGGAGUCUUCCGCAAUGAGCGCAUGCCUGACGGAGCAACGCCGCGUGAGUGAUGAAGAUCUGCGGAUCGUAAAACUCUGUUAUUCGGGAAGAACAAAUGUGUAAGUAACUAUGCACGUCUUGACGGUACCUAAUCAGAAAGCCACGGCUCACUACGUG
rnacentral:rRNA from 1 species